UGCCAUUGUGAACGGUGGGUCUUCCGCCAA
rnacentral:sRNA from 1 species